GUGCUGGCUUUGGCAGCACAUAUACUAAAAUUGGAACGAUACAGAGAAGAUUAGCAUGGCCACUGCACAAGGAUGACAUGCAAAUUUGUGAAGUGGAUAUUCACAAU
ensembl:snRNA U6 U6 spliceosomal RNA